GCUAGACUUUCGUUUUUUCGUCAUUUAGCGGGGUUUAGAAGUUCGCAAUGGCUCGUACCAAGCAGACUGCUCGCAAGUCCACGGGUGGGAAGGCACCACGCAAGCAGCUGGCCACCAAGGCUGCUCGAAAGAGCGCUCCGGCCACCGGCGGCGUGAAGAAGCCCCACCGUUACCGGCCCGGCACCGUGGCUCUGCGCGAGAUCCGCCGCUACCAGAAGUCGACCGAGCUGCUGAUUCGCAAACUGCCAUUCCAGCGUCUGGUCCGUGAGAUCGCGCAGGACUUCAAGACCGAUCUGCGCUUUCAGAGCUCGGCGGUGAUGGCGCUGCAGGAGGCCUGCGAGGCCUACCUGGUGGGGCUCUUUGAGGACACCAACCUAUGCGCCAUUCACGCCAAGCGAGUGACUAUCAUGCCCAAGGACAUCCAGCUUGCUCGCCGCAUUCGUGGGGAGAGGGCGUAAAUUGUCUUGUGAAUGUGUGCUAACCAAAACCCAAAGGCUCUUUUCAGAGCCAACCACCUUUUUCUAUAAAAGUUGCUGUGUACUGUUGCUGUCCGUAAACUGGAACCUCUGUUCAGUCAAGGCUUGGAUACCUCCGGCUUGGGAACUUUCUUGGCCAUCUUUGACCCACCAACCUUCUCCAGCAGCCUCCACCCGCAAAAGCCUUCUUUGGGGUCUGCUUGGUACUCUUCUUCGGAAUAAGGACUCCCCAAGCUUUCUUGGGCCUCUCGGCUGCCGGCACAGCUGUCUGGGGCAUGACUGCAGCGGCUUUUCUGGCCUCGGUCUUGAUUUUCCUGACACCACCCGGUUUAGCGGGAACGAACCCGAGGCGCCGCUCUCCUUACCACGAAGAUGCCUUCGUUUGUUUUCAAGGCCCAACUUUAUUCAAAUAAUUUUUAAAAAUUUGUAUUUAUUUUUAGGGACGAGGUCUCACUAUGUUACCCAGGCUGGCCUCAAAACUCCUCAGCUUGGCCAGGCGAGGUGGCUCAGGCCUGUAAUCACAGCACUUUAGGAUGCCAAGGCGGGCGGAUCACGUGAUGUCAAGAGUUCGAGACCAGCCUGCCCAAAGCAUUGAAACUUCGUCUCUACUGAGAAUACAAAAAUUAGCCGGAUGUGGUGGCACACGCCUGCAGUCCCAGCUACAUGGAAAGCUGAGGCAGGAGAAGGGCUUGAACCCGGGAGGCGGAAGUUGCAGUGAACCGAGAUAGCACCACUGCACUCCACCCUGGGCAGCAGAGCUAGACUCCGUCAAAAAAAACAAAAAAACAAAAUCCCCAAACACAAACAAAACCACCAAAAACAACUCCUUAGCUUAAGAGAUUCUCCCGCCUUGGCCUCCCAAAAUGCUGAGAUUACAAGCGUAGGCCACCGCGACCGGCAAGGGCCGCUCUUCAUAUCGUAGCCGCCAACACCUACUUGAGCGCUGCCACGGACAGGCCGCUGCGCUUCUUGGAGGCGGCUAAGUCAUUAGUGAUGAACUCAUACCGGAGGGGCCUGGACGUCUUGCGCUUCACUGCAACUUCGGACUUGGAAACCUUUUUCUUUACUUCAGUCUUUGACUUGGGAGAUAGACCAGGAGUCACGGCAUGUACAGUUUCGGACAUGAUUGUAGGUUUGGGUAUCUAACAGUUAAAAAAAAAAAAUCAGGCUGCGAGUGUGUCUGUGAUUACGUGUAUGUCACACACAGACACGCUGCGCGCUGAUUGGUUCCCAGCUCAGUCUUUCAGCUUGGCAGCAACCUAGUCUCAACCCUGUUUCUGAGUUGUGUUUGUUGAAAUUCAGAAAAGCAAAAUAGUUUACAUUUCCUGAGGAGGAAUCACACCAAUUCUAUUCUACAAUGAACUGGAACGGCUAAGGCUUUAUGAUCUUCACGUUUUCUUUCUCUAAUUUUUAUUAAGGCAGCCUCGGCCUUUAUCAAAAGCUCCAACUUUCAGAGAUUCACAGUUCAGAGGGACAACUUCUUGAUUUUCAUUUAAAAUAUAAAUUCUUCCAUUCGUGUCUUCAAAUUGCUUGCUGUCUUCUAAUAAUAGCCUACACAUUUUUGGCUUCUCAUACAUUGAACAACUACUUGAUUUUCAUUGAGAUUUAACGAGAAAAUCUGUUUUAUGUGAGAAGAGAAACAACAGGUUCUUUUUCAAUUUCUCCACAAGAACAGCAGUACGGAUACUUAGAACAACAGCUCUUUCUGAUAAAAUUAGUUGGGGCUGAAAAUAUUUCAUGAUAGCUUCUUGUAACUAUUUGGACGUUUAGUUACUUUGGGAGGGUUCCAGUAAAUGUUCAACGUUUCCUUGGGAAAAUGGGAAAUACAAUGAUCAGUAAUUCUGAUAUGGGGACUGUUUGCAUAGCUGAACUCAGGAGAGAUCCAGGAAAG